UAAGUGAGGAGGUUUAAGGCUGAGAGAAGGGGAGUGAAGCAACUGGCUGGACAUCCCAAAGUUAGGUGGCCCUGAGAGCCAGGUCAGAACCCAGAGCUCUGGUGACCGGUACUCUCUGCCAGGUAUCCCUGGAACCAGGGAUUCACAGCCAGGCCAGAGCCCAUGAGGGACUUGCUCUAUGGACCUACGAGUCAGCAGCACUGACUGGCAUUGUUUUUCUUCACUUCAGUUUGAAUAGAAGUGUUCAGAGGGGACACCAACAAGUGGUGGGAACAAGCCACACCUAGCCUGGUGGAAAAACUAGCUCCUCCAAGUGACUAAAGGCUCAAGUUUCAAUGUUGCUCUGAGCACUAAGUACUCUCAGGUGGUGAUGGGCGAUGGCCAUGAACUUGAAGGAUGAAUACAAGGAACACAGAAAACCCCUUUUCAACCAAACCACAAGCUUUGGAUGUGCUGUCCAUUCAAAUGAGCAACUCUGAAAAAUCAGUUUUCUUGGGAGAUCCUGAGCUCUUUUGGCAAAGUGAGUAGAGGCAGAGAGAAUCAAGAUUAGGGGACUCUGUAGGGAAGUGAGUCUCCUUGCCAACAGCUGGGUUUUAGGAAUUAGUUGCUCCAAUGAAUGGGAUGAGUGAUUCUGAAACUUUGCUCAAGGUGGGGUUGCUGGAGCCAGGCGGGGAGACUGUGCUGCCAGAAAGGAGAUGGUCACUGGGAGACAGAAAUGGGCUCUCCCUGAGCAAUCAGAUACCUGAAAUACAAUCCAGCAUGAAAUAUUCAGAAUGCAACUACUUUUCAUCAUGGCCACUGCCACCAUACUGGUCCAAGCCAUCAUCAUCAGUGCCUGGAUUAUCCCAACAGUCUCCCAAGAGGGGUCUUGCUUCCACACUUGUGUUGCCUGCCCAUCUAUUCUCAACAGAGCAGCCAUGGUGAUCUUUUCAUAAUGACUCUCCACUUUACUAAAGCAUAAGGUCCUUACAACGGUCUAUAGGGCCCUAUAUUUUCUGUCUGUUGUGACUUCUGACUUCCUCUCCAUCCCUUGCUCAUACAGCCCUCCUGCUAGUUCUUAAACUUGCCCACCAUGUUCCUACUUCUUCAGGGUCUCUGCACUUUGCUGCUGCCCCUGCUGCCUCAGAUAUGCCUUCCCCAGAUUCCCAUCCAGUUUGUUCCUGCAUCUCCUUCAGGCCUCUGAUUAAAAUCCCUCUUCUCUGA